CAGCACCUCAAGUGGUCAGGAUGAUUAUUGGGCCUAAAGCAUCCGUAGCCGGCGCUGUAAGUUUUCGGUUAAAUCUGUACGCUCAACGUACAGGCUGCCGGGAAUACUGCAGCGCUAGGGAGUGGGAGAGGUAGACGGUACUCGGUAGGAAGGGGUAAAAUCCUUUGAUCUAUUGAUGACCACCUGUGGCGAAGGCGGUCUACCAGAACACGUCCGACGGUGGGGGAUGAAAGCUGGGGGAGCAAACCGGAUUAGAUACCCGCGUAGUCC
rnacentral:rRNA from 1 species